rnacentral:misc_RNA from 1 species
GAUGAAGAACGCAGCGAAAUGCGAUAAGUAAUGUGAAUUGCAGAGUUCAGUGAAUCAUCGAAUCUUUGAACGCAUCUUGCGCUCCUUGGUAUUCUGAGGAGCAUGCCUGUUUGAGUGUCAUUAAAUUCUCAACUACACUGACUUUGAAUUGGUGUGGCUUGGAUUUGGGGGGAAAAUUGUUGUGGGCUUUUUGUAUAGUCUGCUCCCCUGAAAUUGAUUAGCGGUACCUUUGUGGAACUGUCUACAGGUGUGAUAAUUAUCUACAUCUUAGACAUCUGCUGGAAUGCUGCUUUCUAAACCUUACUUGUAUUGACAAUCUUGACCUCAAAUCAGGUAGGACUACCCGCUGAACUUAAGCAUAUCAAUAAGCGGAGGA